UGCCCAGCAGCUAGCUCGCAAACAUAACACCAACCAACCCCUAUUUAUACCCCCAAAUACACAAACCCGAACCUAAGUAAACCAUUUUUCCCCUCUAGUAUUGGCGAAAGAAAAAGGACUAAGGAGCAAUAGAGAAAGUACCGCAAGGGAUCGCUGAAAGAGAAAUGAAACAAACCAGUAAAGCAGCCAAAAGCAGAGAUUUAUCCUCGUACCUUUUGCAUCAUGAUUUAGCCAGUGCGCCCAAGCAAAACGUAUUUUAGUUUAGAACCCCGAAACCAGGUGAGCUACUCCAAGACAGCCUAUUUAUAGGGCAAACCCGUCUCUGUGGCAAAAGAGUGGGAAGAUCUUUGAGUAGAGGUGACAGACCUACCGAACCUUGUUAUAGCUGGUUGCCCGAGAAUUGAAUAGAAGUUCAGCCUUCCAGCUUCUUCAUUAGCCCCCGUAAUACACCUCUCGUUGGCCAAGAAACUGAAAGAGUUAGUCAAAGGAGGUACAGCUCCUUUGAAUGAAGACACAACUUUUCAGGGAGGGUUAAGAUCAUA
rnacentral:rRNA from 1 species